rnacentral:rRNA from 1 species
AACGAACGCUGGCGGCGUGCUUAAUACAUGCAAGUCGAGCGAGAAAGUGGCUUCGGCCAUGAGUAAAGCGGCAGACGGGUGAGUAAUACAUAAGUAACUUUCCUCUAAGUUGGGGAUAACCUUCCGAAAGGAGGGCUAAUACCGAAUAAGAUCACAGGGACCUCGGUCCCAGGGAUUAAAGGUGGCCUCUACUUGUAAGCUAUCGCUUAGAGAUAGGCUUAUGCACCAUUAGCAGUUGGUGAGGUAACGGCUCACCAAAGCGAUGAUGGUUAGCUGAUCUGAGAGGUUGAUCAGCCACACUGGAACUGAGACACGGUCCAGACUCCUACGGGAGGCAGCAGUAGGGAAUAUUGCGCAAUGGAGGAAACUCUGACGCAGCGACGCCGCGUGGGCGAUGAAGGUCUUCGGAUCGUAAANCCCUGUCGGAAGGGAAGAAGGUAAUUUGGCUAACAUCCAAGUUAUUUGACGGUACCUUAAGAGGAAGCACCGGCUAAACUACGU